rnacentral:rRNA from 1 species
GACGAACGCUGGCGGCGUGCUUAACACAUGCAAGUCGAACGGAAAGGCCCUGCUUGCAGGGUGCUCGAGUGGCGAACGGGUGAGUAACACGUGGGUGAUCUGCCCCUUACUUUGGGAUAAGCCUGGGAAACUGGGUCUAAUACUGGAUAGGACCAUGCUGUAGGUGGUGUGGUGGAAAGAUUAGUUUCGGUAAGGGAUGAGCUCGCGGCCUAUCAGCUUGUUGGUGGGGUAAUGGCCUACCAAGGCGUCGACGGGUAGCCGGCCUGAGAGGGUGGACGGCCACAUUGGGACUGAGAUACGGCCCAGACUCCUACGGGAGGCAGCAGUGGGGAAUAUUGCACAAUGGGCGCAAGCCUGAUGCAGCGACGCCGCGUGGGGGAUGAAGGCCUUCGGGUUGUAAACUCCUUUCAGCCAUGACGAAGCCCUUGUGGUGACGGUAGUGGUAGAAGAAGCACCGGCUAACUACGU